GACUCUAUGACCCAAUGGAUAAGGUAUUAGUCUACAGAACUAGAUAUUUUAGGUUCGAUCCCCAGUAGAGUUG
rnacentral:tRNA from 1 species